ACUCGGUUUGCCGGCUCAGAAGUCCAUCACCUCCAUCUUAAACGGUUUACCCUGAAGCUUGUUCGAGACGAUCUUCGUGAUCGGUGGCGCGCUGUUGUUGUCGUCGUCGCUGUUUAUAUCCUCGUCCUCCUCCGGGAAGUCCUCGAGCCUGUCGUGGUACUCGUCCAGCUAGAAAAACCAUACGAUCGAUUAACCCUGAACGGAACUUCACCCUUUUGUUUCAGACCGAUCGAUCCGUGGAAAAGAACAAACUCAGCUACAAAAGUCUAGGGCGUGAGAUCGUUUCGUAACGAGGCCGAGCUAGCGUUUAGCCAUGUGAGAGAACAAUACAGCGCGGUGCCGGCGAGAACUUGAGAAGCUGUGACACCAGGCUGCGCCGAGACCGUCGUCCCCUGCGAAACGCUGAAGCUCUCUUCUACGUGCGAACGAGAGUGCGAAGCGCGCACACAGAAGCUACAGGCAUUCCGUAAUACGUAGUAUGUUCUACGGACUCACGUGUGUAGGGUAGCUACGGAAGAAGCGAUUUAAUCGACGUUACCGCACACCGAUCGGACGGUUACCUAUAACUGCGGGUACGUCCAACGUGAAUCACCUCUGUGCUCCUCCGUGCCGAAAAGACGCGCCCCGAGCACUCCUUGUUGCUGCCCACCAAUGCACCAGGUGCUCGGCAAGGGGACCGUUCCGUGAAAAGACCUCGAAGCGUCCGUACCAACGGCAGAGAGCCCGGAUCCCCUCGUCGACCACCCGAAUUAGCGCCGCAGACCAUUCGUGAACUCGCGGUGCAUCCAUUCGACCGAGUCGUUUACCAUGAUCGCUACUCUAAGCUAGCUGAUGAGCGUGCUUCGUGUGUGUCCUUCGAUAGCUUGCGCCGAAGAAGAACUUGCUCGGCAAUCGCGAUAGAACCGCGGCCGAACAUUGUGUUUGGUUCUAUCGCCAUUGCCGAACGUGUGUGUCGAUCGGUGAUGGCAGUGUUUGUGGAUCGUGGAGAAGACAAGGAUUUCUUUAGUGGAGACACAGAAGCCGUGGAACAUGGGGAAAGGAAGCAGAAAUACAUCGUCAACCCUCCGAUAGCCGUGCCGAGUUGAUUCUUGAGUUCUGAAGGAUCUCUGCCAUCCGAGGGUUGAAAAGGCAACGAUAACACAGCAAGGAAAUGAAUCGGUAUUCCUAAUCGAUUAUUUCCUCGGUCUCGUUGUCUCGCGAUAUCGACACAACCAUGUUAAAAUACAGCAAUUUCCGCUCGAGGUCGCAGCUAGAUAAAGUCUACACGAAUAUGAAUAAUAUGUUUAAAAAACGACUGGACAACGUGAUGAAUAUAUUUAAAAAACAUUCCGAGGAUUACUGUUCGCCGAGUCAUGUCGAGCGUCGCUAAUUGGCCGCGUCCAUCAAGCGGAAAUUAUCGUGUAUCCAAUGAGAGGAUUGCAUGAUCGAUGUUGGUGAAGCGAAAACGGAGCGAAGGUGGUUUCUUUUUGGCUCGACUCACAUCGACGUCGCCCAUCAUUUCCUUGGUAGAGACCGUAGUGUCGAUGCGUCGUAUGCUGCCCUGAUGGAUAUCUACGUCGAGCUUGACGCAUUGGAACCGCCUCAGGAGAAAGACUAUCGGUAUUGGCGCGACGCUCACUAAUAUAAUCACCGCCGCGAUGGCCAGCACCCAGCUGGGAU